rnacentral:rRNA from 1 species
UGGGGAAUAUUGCGCAAUGGGCGAAAGCCUGACGCAGCAACGCCGCGUGAGUGAUGAAGGCCUUCGGGUCGUAAAGCUCUGUCGGAGGGAACGAAUGCUCCUGAAGUUAACAGCCUCAGGAGGUGACGGUACCCUCAAAGGAAGCACCGGCUAACUCUGUGCCAGCAGCCGCGGUAAUACAGAGGGGGCAAGCGUUGUUCGGAAUCACUGGGCGUAAAGCGCACGUAGGUGGAUAGUUAAGUUCGGGGUGAAAUCCCAGGGCUCAACCCUGGAACUGCCUCGGAUACUGGCUAUCUCGAGUCCGGAAGAGGUGAGUGGAAUUCCUAGUGUAGAGGUGAAAUUCGUAGAUAUUAGGAAGAACACCGGUGGCGAAGGCGGCUCACUGGUCCGGUACUGACACUGAGGUGCGAAAGCGUGGGGAGCAAACAGGAUUAGAUACCCCCGUAGUCCCUGAGCGGGCUGGCAAGGCG